AACCUGGUUGAUCCUGCCAGUAGUCAUAUGCUUGUCUUAAAGAUUAAGCCAUGCAUGUCUAAGUAUAAAUGGUAUACAGUAAAACUGCGAAUGGCUCAUUAAAACAGUUAUAGUUUAUUUGGUAAUCGAAUUUACAUGGAUAACCGUGGUAAUUCUAGAGCUAAUACAUGCUGUAAAGCCCGACUUCUCGGAAGGGCCGUGUUUAUUAGAUAACAGACCAACAGCUUCGGCUAUUGUGGUGAAUCAUAGUAACUAAUCGGAUCGCAUGGGCUAGUCCCGCGACAAACCAUUCAAGUUUCUGCCCCAUCAGCUUUCGACGGUAGUGUAUUGGACUACCGUGGCUUUUACGGGUAACGGAGGAUUAGGGUUCGAUUCCGGAGAGGGAGCCUGAGAAACGGCUACUACAUCUAAGGAAGGCAGCAGGCGCGUAAAAUUACCCCAUUCUGAUUCAGAGAGGUAGUGACAAGAAAUAACGGGUCGGGACUUUGUCCCGGGACUGCAAUGAGAUGAACUUAUACCCCUUUUCGAGUA
rnacentral:rRNA from 1 species